GAUGAACGCUGGCGGAGUGCCUAAUACAUGCAAGUCGAGCUGAAGGACGGGAAGGUUGCUUCUCUGAUGUUAAAGGCGGACGGGAGUGUCACACGUGGAUGACCCAACUUUAAGAAAGGGAUACCUUCGGGUAACCUUAGCUAAUACCGGCUACUAUUUUUUACCACAUGGAUCUAAACUGAAAGACGGUCUUGCUGUCACUUAUCGAUGGAUCCGCGCUGCAUUAGAUAGUUGGUAAGGUAACGACUUACCCUGGGAACGAUGCAUAGCCGACCUGAGAGGGUGGGCGGCCACACUGGGACUGAGACACGGGCCAAGCUCCUACGGGAGGCAGCAGUAGGGAAUCUUGCGCAAUGGGCGAAAGCCUUACGGAGCAACGCCGCGUGAGUGAUGAAGGUCUUCGGAUCGUAAAACUCUGUUAUUAGGGAAGAACAUAUGUGUAAGUAACUGUGCACAUCUUGACGGUACCUAAUCAGAAAGCCACGGCUAACUACGUG
rnacentral:rRNA from 1 species